rnacentral:miRNA from 1 species
GUGCACAAGCCACCUGGGGAUCUUCCUAGAAUGCAGAUUCUGAUUCACUAGGUCUGGAUAGAGCCUGAGAAUCUGCAUUUCUAACAAGCUCUUGGGUUUGCUGCU